rnacentral:tRNA from 1 species
GCCUCUGUAGUGUAAUAGGCAGCAUGUCGCUCUUGUAAAGCGGUGGUCUGGGUGCAAAUCCUGGCAGGGGCU